rnacentral:rRNA from 1 species
GAUGAACGCUGGCGGCGUGCCUAAUACAUGCAAGUCGAGCGAACGGACGAGAAGCUUGCUUCUCUGAUGUUAGCGGCGGACGGGUGAGUAACACGUGGAUAACCUACCUAUAAGACUGGGAUAACUUCGGGAAACCGUAGCUAAUACCGGAUAAUAUUUUGAACCGCAUGGUUCAAAAGUGAAAGACGGUCUUGCUGUCACUUAUAGAUGGAUCCGCGCUGCAUUAGCUAGUUGGUAAGGUAACGGCUUACCAAGGCAACGAUGCAUAGACGACCUGAGAGGGUGAUCGGACACACUGGAACUGAAACACGGUCCAGAAAACUACGGGAGGCAGCAGUAGGGAAUAUUACGCAAUGGGCGAAAGCAUGACGGAGCAACGCCGCGUGAGUGAUGAAGGUAUUCGGAUCGUAAAACUCUGUUAUUAGGGAAGAAAAUAUGUGUAAGUAAAUGUGCACAUAUUGACGGUAACUAAUCAGAAAGCAACGGCUAACUACGUG